rnacentral:rRNA from 1 species
CUAGCAUAUCAAUAAGCGGAGGAAAAGAAACCAACAGGGAUUGCCCUAGUAACGGCGAGUGAAGCGGCAACAGCUCAAAUUUGAAAUCUGGCGCAAGCCCGAGUUGUAAUUUGUAGAGGAUGUUUCUGGCGACGCGCCUUCCGAGUUCCCUGGAACGGGACGCCAUAGAGGGUGAGAGCCCCGUACGGUUGGAUGCCUAGCCUCUGUGAAACUCCUUCGACGAGUCGAGUAGUUUGGGAAUGCUGCUCUAAAUGGGAGGUAUACGUCUUCUAAAGCUAAAUACCGGCCAGAGACCGAUAGCGCACAAGUAGAGUGAUCGAAAGAUGAAAAGCACUUUGAAAAGAGGGUUAAAAAGUACGUGAAAUUGUUGAAAGGGAAGCGUUCAUGACCAGACUUGGGCAGGUUGAUCAUCCGUGGUUCUCCGCGGUGCACUCUGCCUGCCCAGGCCAGCAUCAGUUCGCCCCGGGGGAUAAAGGCUUUGGGAAUGUGGCUCCCUCGGGAGUGUUAUAGCCCACUGCGUAAUACCCUGGGGUGGACUGAGGUUCGCGCUCUGCAAGGAUGCUGGCGUAAUGGUCAUCAACGACCCGUCUUGAAACACGGACCAAGGAGUCGUCUUCGUAUGCGAGUGUUCGGGUGUCAAACCCCUACGCGUAAUGAAAGUGAACGUAGGAGAGAGCUUCGGCGCAUCUCCGACCGAUCCUGAUGUUCUCGGAUGGAUUUGAGUAAGAGCAUACGGGGCCGGACCCGAAAGAAGGUGAACUAUGCCUGUAUAGGGUGAAGCCAGAGGAAACUCUGGUGGAGGCUCGCAGCGGUUCUGACGUGCAAAUCGAUCGUCAAAUAU